rnacentral:misc_RNA from 1 species
AACGCACAUUGCGCCCUUUGGUAUUCCGAGGGGCAUGCCUGUUCGAGCGUCAUUUCACCACUCAAGCCUCGCUUGGUAUUGGGCGCCGCGGUGUUCCGCGCGCCUCAAAGUCUCCGGCUGAGCUGUCCGUCUCUAAGCGUUGUGAUUUCAUUAAUCGCUUCGGAGCGCGGGCGGUCGCGGCCGUUAAAUCUUUCACAAGGUUGACCUCGGAUCAGGUAGGGAUACCCGCUGAACUUAA